UAACUCUCAACUGUCACACAAAAUGCAGCAGUGUUUUUUACUCAUCAAAUUUGAUAAAAACAUACAAAUUCUCUCCACCUCCUCAGAAAUGACAGCUGGUCCAAAAGAAAAUCCAGUCUAUUCUGAGGUCAAGACAGGGAAGACCACAGCAGCAACUGGACCUGUUGAUGUGACCUAUGCUGAGGUUGACCUUAAACAGAAGGCCAAAGCCAAGAAGAAGAAAGAAACAGCAACCCCACCUGAGGCAGAUUCGGUCUAUUCUCAAUUGAAGCCA